rnacentral:rRNA from 1 species
UGGGGAAUCUUGCGCAAUGGGCGAAAGCCUGACGCAGCGACGCCGCGUGAGGGAGGAAGGCCUUCGGGUUGUAAACCUCUUUCAGGAGGGACGAAGCUACUCGGGUGAAUAGCCCAGAGGGUGACGGUACCUCCAGAAGAAGCCCCGGCUAACUACGUGCCAGCAGCCGCGGUAAUACGUAGGGGGCAAGCGUUGUCCGGAUUUACUGGGCGUAAAGCGCGUGUAGGCGGCCACACAGGUCCGUUGUGAAAACUGGAGGCUCAACCUCCAGACGUCGACGGAAACCGUAUGGCUAGAGUCCGGAAGAGGAGAGUGGAAUUCCUGGUGUAGCGGUGAAAUGCGCAGAUAUCAGGAAGAACACCAAUGGCGAAGGCAGCUCUCUGGGACGGUACUGACGCUGAGACGCGAAAGCGUGGGGAGCGAACAGGAUUAGAUACCCUGGUAGUCCACGCCGUAAAACGAUGGGUGCUAGGUGUGGGAGGUGUCGACUCCUUCCGUGCCGUAGCUAACG